rnacentral:misc_RNA from 1 species
UCAAAUUAAAAUAAAUUGGAAUCGAUUAUUAAUAGCGUAGGUUUGAUGAUAAAACGUGUCAAUAUCUUUAUUGAUCAGAAAUAUUAAAAAAAUGAAUUCCUGUCUUGUAAAAAUUAAUGUUAUUAUUUCCUUUUAGCGUGUGUAAUAUUUAAUUAUCUCGGUUAGAUACGGAAUAUGCUGUGAGUUCUACCUGUUAAAAUCAUAUAAAUACGCCGACAACAUAGAAAUUCUUAACAGAUUUAAUAAAGACAUCAACGAAUAUGAAGCUUACGUUGGAGUUAUUUAUAUUUGCUUUUGCUUUUUCUCCAAUUAUUUGUUGGCACGAUUCAACAAAUGUUAGACCUGCGGAUCCUUACAAAGCUCUUAUACAGUCCAAUGGACGAUACUGUGCCAUGAGCGAUGAUGAUAGGGAUGAUGUUAAUUUUUGCUUGUUGGAAAACAGAAAUUUUCUUUUGUUGGAAUUCUACAAAAACUGUAUUCAGCAACUGAAAUUCUUUCAAACUAUGGCAGAAAUCAACAAUUUCAUUUGUCAAUCCAGACAAACAGCGCCACGAGUAAUUCAUUCAAAUUUUAAAACAUUAUAAUAGCUAUUAUUAACUUCAAAAUGUUACAACCAAAUAGAAAAUCGUUCACAGAAAUCAAUAACAUUAGAUCAUCCACAUCAACAGAAAUCAAUAACAUUAGAUCAUCCACAUCAACAGAAAUUUGUAUUGAUCUAAAUUGUUCUUAAUGAUUGCUGUUUAAGUUAGAUUGCCA